GCCACGGUGGUCUAGCGGUUAGAACGCUGGCCUUGUAAAUCCUGGGGUCCCGGGUUCGAUUCCCGGCGGUACCC
rfam:Zootermopsis nevadensis contig18226, whole genome shotgun sequence.